UAGGCUCAGCCCCUGGAACCCUGCUUCCCAUCGAUCCUCUAGCAGAAUGUGCUCCAGUUCCUGGCUUCUUGGGGUCUGCAAAGGGAUGCUCCCUUCCCCGCUCUGCCCCAUGCCCAACUUUAAAUUCUUGUUUAAGACAGUGAACACACACUAAGACAUGAGGUACGUGAGCCUUCAUCCCUGGCACCCUGCCCCUCCCCUUCCUCUCUGCCUUCUAGGUUCUGUAAGGCCCAGGCCCAGGCCCUCCUCAAAUCAUAUUCACAGCCCAAGUCAUUCCAUGUAGCACAUCACCCAGUGCUAUUUUCUUUUUUCUUUUUUUUUUAAGACGGAGUCUCACUGUUUCCCAGGCUAGAGUGCAUUCCUGGCAUGUCACAGGCUUUCUCCAUUAAGCUCUCUUGCCCCUGCAGUUCACUCCUGCCAUCUCCUCUGUGAGUCCUCUGCGGACCACCCUAGGCAAGCAAAGGGAUUAGGAGCUUGGCCACUAGACCCAAAGUGGCUGAGUUAGAAUCCCAGCCCCGUUACCAGCUAUGACACUAGGCAAGUCACUUUCUCUCUCUGGGCCUCUGUAAGAUGACAAUGAUAGAAUCUAUUCAAUUACUGUGUGGUCUGAGUUAAUCC
ensembl:lncRNA novel transcript